UGGAGAUUCCCAGGUGAAGCCAAGCUAUUACUCUAAUGUGGCUGCCUCUAGGGCUCACUGAAGCCAGCUGUUGCUUGUUUGAUAGGAGUCAGGAGCCAAGACCAGCUAUUCUUAAGGAAAAGAAGCUUGGCUGGGCCCAUAAAGGAGGUGGGAUAGAGCCCCUGUGAUCUCCAAGGUGGGUCACACAGUGUUAGCCUGGUUGAUGGAGUCUCAGAUAUGGCACCAACCUACUGGCUCUAUAGGGGGAGGGCUUAUCAGAGGGACAGUCACCUCUGCUUACCACAGUGCCAGAUACUCUCUCCCUGUAUGCCACUGGUACCCUUCAGGCUGCCACCCCGGUACUGGGGCUCAGAGGGAGUGAGUCCGAGUAGGUGAGUCCAUGUUUGGGUUCCCCAAGAGAAACUGCUUAUGGCUUCAUCAGCCUCCUCCACUGGCUCAAUCCCCACUGGAUUUUCGCAGCCAGAGGUUGUGGGGACUUAUCUUCCUGGCACUGGAAUCCUGGGCUUUGGGGCCUGAUGUGAGGCUGGCACUCCUCACUCCUGAGAUAUCCCUCCUGAAUUUUAUCUCCAUGAAUGUGGGGCCAGCCUGUUCUGUGUCCAUGCCCCUCCUACCAGUCUGGAUGGAUGUGGUUGCAUCAGUUCCGUAGUUGCCAGACUUCCAUUUAACUCGAUUUUGUCAUUCUUAGACUUCUGUUCAACUAGAUUUCUGACAUUCCUAAGUGAUUGUUGUUCUAUAUUUUACGUGUAAUUUGAUGUGGUUGUGCAAAAAGGUUAGUCAUGUCUACCUAUGUUGCCAUCUUGAGUGGAAGCCCUCUUAUCUUUUAACAUCAUCUAAAUUCAGCCUCUCAAGUUCUGUUUAUGACACCGUCCAAAAAUGUGUGUGGGAGAUGCCAACAGGGAAGCCUUUUCUUAUGUGUGUGUGAUCUUCAUGGGCACAUUGGCUGGCAACUCCAGGCCUAUACUCUUCUCUGGAUGGCCCUGACAUACUGGUAUCCUAAGAUUAUGCCAGUUGAAGACUAGGUCUCCUAAAAGUCUCCUCUGUGUUAGAACAUGGCUUGCAUGUGUCCAGGGCCCUCUUCCAUUUGUUCAUCUUUUUAUGCCCAGGUUCAAGAUGCGAUCAAGUACAACAGACUUACUUAUUGAACGAAUAAAUGACUCCCAGUGAGCCCCAGAGGAGUGAGUGGAGUUUGACAGCAAAUUAUGAGGAUAUUUCUAAAAGCAUGUUGUAAUAGACAAGAAAAGAUGUCAGGUUGGGGCAAUCCAAAGAAAGAGGACCUGUCCCAGCCUCCCAGGGAGGGUCAUGACCCCUGGACUCCAGGAAUAGUAAAAUUGGCAAAACCGAAAUUUGUUCUUUUCUGCAUUGUAAUUUCCCUACACCCUCCCCCCCCCCCAAAAAAAGUCUGUAUUAAAAUCUAGAACC